GCCUAGCCGUAAACAUAAACAGCCUGUCACCCCGCUGUUCGCCCGGGUACUACAAGCCCUAGCUUAAAACCCAAAGGACUUGGCGGUGCUUUAGACCCCCCUAGAGGAGCCUGUUCUAGAAUCGAUAAUCCCCGUUCCACCUCACCCUCUCUUGUUCUCCCCGCCUAUAUACCGCCGUCGUCAGCUUACCUUGUGAAAGAUGAAUAGUAAGCAAAAUUGGCAGAGCCCAAAACGUCAGGUCAAGGUGUAGCGUAUGAGAGGGAGAGCAAUGGGCUACAUUUACUGUCCCAGUAAACACGGAUCUUGCAAUGAAACAAGCAUUUGAAGGAGGAUUUAGCAGUAAGAGGGGACUAUGUGUGCCCCCCUGAAAACGGCCCUGAAGCGCGCACACACCGCCCGUCACUCUCCCCACCGGACCCCUGCACAUAAAUAAUACCUGCUAACCACAAAGGGGAGGCAAGUCGUAACAUGGUAAGCGUACCGGAAGGUGCGCUUGGAAUAAGUC
rnacentral:rRNA from 1 species